GCCCAGGUGGUGGAAUUGGUAGACACGCAAGGUUGAGGGCCUUGUGGGAGAAUUUUCCCGUGCAAGUUCGAGUCUUGUUCUGGGCACGA
rnacentral:tRNA from 1 species